ACACUGCACAGAUUCCAGCCCUCCUUGCCAACGGCUUGAAUCUGGCCACCUUGUCAGCAUGAACAGCGAGCCCGAGUCAAAAGCGUGUGCUUCCUGUUAUUUUUUGAAAUGCCCAUCAAUCUCAGCGUUCAGAGCAGGUGAAGGAGCACCCCAUGAAGCUGAUUUCCUUUGUUCUUAAUCACAGGAGAGAGCAAGCUGGGGACGGGAAGAUGAAAUAGAAUUGGAAAUGGAAACGAGAGAUCCUGUCACACUCAAACCCACCUCCAGCACUGUAGGGUCGUUCCUCACUACCUGCUGUCUGCAACUUUGUUCUACCAACUCAUUUCAAAAGACGGAGUGUCUGUAUUCUCCCUCCCUGGGCCCACUGGAGCCUUGUGGCUAACAAGGCUUCCCUGCUCUCCAGCUGACAUUUUCCUUUGCUGUUCUAGCCUUUGGAGAGCUGGUCAACCAGCUUGUACAACCAGCGCUUGUACUUCCCAAGCGCUUAGUACAGUGCUCUGCACACAGUAAGCGCUCAAUAAAUACGAUUGAAUGAAUGAAUGAAUGAACCAGGAGACAGAAAGUAAUGGUCUAUUCUGUCGGCCGCCUCCUGGUCCGCCUUCCCAACCUUCUGGACUGGGAGCCCGCUUUCUAGACUGUGAGCCCGCUGCUGGGUAGGGACCGUC